AGUGAACGCUGGCGGUAGGCCUAACACAUGCAAGUCGAACGGCAGCACAGUAAGAGCUUGCUCUUACGGGUGGCGAGUGGCGGACGGGUGAGGAAUACAUCGGAAUCUACUUUUUCGUGGGGGAUAACGUAGGGAAACGCACGCUAAUACCGCAUACGACCUACGGGUGAAAGCAGGGGAUCUUCGGACCUUGCGCGAUUGAAUGAGCCGAUGUCGGAUUAGCUAGUUGGCGGGGUAAAGGCCCACCAAGGCGACGAUCCGUAGCUGGUCUGAGAGGAUGAUCAGCCACACUGGAACUGAGACACGGUCCAGACUCCUACGGGAGGCAGCAGUGGGGAAUAUUGGACAAUGGGCGCAAGCCUGAUCCAGCCAUACCGCGUGGGUGAAGAAGGCCUUCGGGUUGUAAAGCCCUUUUGUUGGGAAAGAAAAGCAGCAGGUUAAUACCCCGCUGUUCUGACGGUACCCAAAGAAUAAGCACCGGCUAACUUCGUG
rnacentral:rRNA from 1 species